GGUAGACGCGCAGGAUUUAGGAUCCUGUGGCUUCGUGCCGUGGGGGUUCGAGUCCCCCCUUUCGCA
rnacentral:tRNA from 1 species